rnacentral:rRNA from 1 species
UACGGAGGAUCCGAGCGUUAUCCGGAUUUAUUGGGUUUAAAGGGUGCGUAGGCGGCCUAUUAAGUCAGGGGUGAAAGACGGUAGCUUAACUAUCGCAGUGCCUUUGAUACUGAUGGGCUUGAAUGUAGUUGAGGUAGGCGGAAUGUGACAAGUAGCGGUGAAAUGCAUAGAUAUGUCACAGAACACCGAUUGCGAAGGCAGCUUACUAUGGUCCUAUUGACGCUGAGGCACGAAAGCGUGGGGAUCAAACAGG